UAUUAUUAAAGGGCCGCGGUAAUUUGACCGUGCAAAGGUAGCAUAAUCGUUAGUUCCUUAAUUGGGAUCUUGUAUGAACGGUCGGACAAGAGAAUGACUGUCUCUAUGUUUUUGUUGAAUUUAACUUUUAAGUGAAAAGGCUUAAAUAUUUUAGAAAGACGAUAAGACCCUAUAAAGCAUUUUGUUGGGGCGACAAUGAUAAAAUGGUUAACUGUUUAUAAUAAGAAACAAAAUUUUAUGAAAUGAUCCUUUAAUAAAGAUUAAAAGUUUAAGUUACUUUAGGGAUAACAGCGUUAUUUUUUUUGAGAGUUCAUAUCGAAAAAAAAGUUUGCGACCUCGAUGUUGAAUUAAAAUUUCUAUAUAGUUGCAGCAGCUAUAUAAGAAGGUCUGUUCGACCUUUAAAUUUUU
rnacentral:rRNA from 1 species